rfam:Schistosoma margrebowiei strain Zambia genome assembly, scaffold: SMRZ_contig0002267
AUCCAGCUGAUGAGUUCAAAACAAGAGGAAACGCACGUCCUGGAU